AAAGUCGUAACAAGGUUUCCGUAGGUGAACCUGCGGAAGGAUCAUUACAGUGUUCCGUCGCGGCGCGCCGGGCCCCAAAGCCCGUGCGUGGUCGCGCGAAACCCCACCCUUGACUAUUGGACCUUCUGUUUCUUUGGCGGGCCCGCCGCAGGGCCGCCGGGAGCUUCGGCCCCUGGCCCGCGCCCGCCAGAGGCAAACUUGAACUCUUCUGUGAAUUGGCCGUCUGAGUAUGAUAUUGAAUCAUUAAAACUUUCAACAAUGGAUCUCUUGGUUCCG
rnacentral:misc_RNA from 1 species